rnacentral:rRNA from 1 species
AACGAACGCUGGCGGCAUGCCUAACACAUGCAAGUCGAACGCGUGUAGCAAUACACGAGUGGCGGACGGGUGAGUAACGCGUGGGAACCUGCCCAGUGGUAGGGAAUAACUGCGGGAAACUGCAGCUAAUACCCUAUACGCCCUUUGGGGGAAAGAUUCAUCGCCAUUGGAGGGCCCGCGUCGGAUUAGCUAGUUGGCGGGGUAACGGCCCACCAAGGCAACGAUCCGUAGCUGGUCGAGAGGAUGAUCAGCCACACUGGGACUGAGAUACGGCCCAGACUCCUACGGGAGGCAGCAGUGGGGAAUAUUGGACAAUGGGGGAAACCCUGAUCCAGCAAUGCCGCGUGAGUGAAGAAGGCC